UUUAGUAACAAUUUCCAUCAAAGAAAUGCCAGAAAUAGAGCUCAGAGCCUCUCCUUUAAAGCCAAAACUUUCAAGGGGAGUGCACAAGACGCGCAUGGGAGUCAAAAGAAGAAUUUACACCUACAAAAACUAAAGUUUCUUAAAUUCUGGGACAAAAUGGAGGUACUUCCCUCCAGAAAUUACACAACAUCAAAAUACAGCCAUUCCGAUGAUAUGCAUGCUUUCCCAGUGAGCUCUGGCCUUUAAGGAGAGGCUCUGAGCUCUACUUCUGACGUUUCUUUGUUGGAAGUCGUUGCUAAAACUCACGGGAGGCCAAAUGAACAUCGUAAGGUUUUGAAGGGCAAGUGUUUGUUCCUUGGAAUUGAUAAUUGUAGACAAGAUGUUGGUACGAAAGCUGUACUUUGUCAUUGUUUGCAUAUAGAAUCCGGAAGCCCAAAGAGGGUCUUGCAUUCUCUGGAAGAGACUCUGCUAAGAAUCGCCCUUGUGCAUUCCAGUGUCCCCUUCAAAAUUGUUGAUAUUGGUAGGUCUGUCUCUGUUAUUCAAACUAACUUAAGGAUAUUUCCUGUCUGGUAUCUUAGAUUUUGUUCAUUAGCAUGCCGUGAGGAUGACUUGCUUUGCACGCAUGCUUCUCCUUUUCCCCAUUGCCACUAUUGUCCAGUGGGUUUGGGAUUCAUCUGAGUUCCCUUUAUAAAUUGAAUGCAAGUGAUGGUUCAUUCAAACUCUCAGGAUACAUCUCAGAUAUCAAUUCAAGAUUUGUUUCCAAAGGACCAAUACAUAAAUUACUUAAUAACAUAGCUAUGAGUUUUGACAGUGCUUCUGACAUUGAGAAGCGAAGUAGAUCUCGGAUAUAUCCACUUUUUUUGUUGAACCUCAACUGUCCAAGAUCUUUAUAUGAUUUGACUUUGGAGCCUUCAAAGACCUCUGUGGAAUUUAAGUCUUCAAGAAAGGCAGCAGGAAAUAAUAAUAUUAAGACUGGUCAUGAUGUGCCACUCAUGCCAGGUGGAUGGGGACUCGCAUAAAUGGAUUGAUGCUGGAAAUCGAGGUAAAACAGAUGAUGAGCCCAUAAGGAAGAAGAAGAAGAGUAGAAGAAGUCAUUCAGCUCCUCCCUUUACCAAGGCAAGAAGAAGUUCCUUGCCACGAGUGAGUCUCCAAGAAAGGCUGGACGAAAUAACAAUAUUAAGACUGUUCAUGAUGUGCCACUCAUACCCUAAGUUGCUUGGACUCUCCAAAUAUGUUGCCACACCCGUGUCGGAUCCUCCAAAAUUGCACCACUUUGGAAGGAUCUGACACGCACUCGAUGACAUUUUUGAAUAGUCCGAGCAACUUAGCUCAUACCAGAAACUAGAGCAGUAUGGAGACUGCAUCAUUCUGCAGAAGCUAUCUGCUCGGAGCUUCCACAGCUGUCAUCCCACCAAUGCGAUCCAUAUACUUCAGCUAGAACAAUUAUUUCGUAAAUUUGCAGAUAGAUGACUUCAUGAACUAGACUAAUCUACAAUAUAGAAAAUCAUUCUUUUAGCUUUAACAGUUAAGCAACUGAUAUUAAUUGAAAUCCUGGCCAUCUAAAGUGUUGGUAUUAGAUAUUUGAUGCCUACUCUUUGA